rnacentral:rRNA from 1 species
UACGUAGGGGGCAAGCGUUUGUCCGGAUUUACUGGGCGUAAAGCGCGUGUAGGCGGCCACGCAGGUCCGUUGUGAAAACUAGAGGCUCAACCUCUAGACGUCGACGGAAACCGUGUGGCUAGAGUCCGGAAGAGGGAGAGUGGGAAUUCCUGGGUGUAGCGGUGAAAUGCGCAGAGUAUCAGGGAAGAACACCAAUGGCGAAGGCAGCUCUCUGGGACGGUACUGACGCUGAGACGCGAAAGCGUGGGGAGCGAACAGG